rnacentral:lncRNA from 1 species
AAGGUUUAAAUUAAAAAAAUCUUAAAGGUAGUUAUGAGAAUUAGAACAAGUCGCGUAGGUGCAACUAAAGACAAAGGACUUGAUAAAUAGACAAAUAAAAAGAGAUGGCCAAAAAGGUUCUUUCUGGAAAGAUUACUGUAACUUUUUACAAUUAGCAGUAAUUUCAAAUUGGAAUGGUGAACUCCCUGCUACAUCUGCCUACUCUGCCUAUAAGCUGACUUUGACAUGAAUACUGAGCAAUCGUUUUGUUUAGAUUGUUGUUAUUAUUAUUAUGGAAUGGUUAUGCCUCUUUUGGGUUUCUUUCAUUGACUUGGUCCAUAGCUUAUUUGAGAGACCAUAAUUUAUGUUAAAUGGAAUUACACAUAUGUGUAUGAUAUAGUGCUUGUUAAGUUAUUAUCCGUAAAUAAAUAUCUUGCCUUGAUUGACUCAAUCUGAGAGAGCAACAGAUAUGACCAAAAACAACAUGCCAAAAAGAUCUUUCAUGCCUAACUUGGUCCUUGAAUAUAUAAGGUACCCUAUUUUACGGAAGUUACAAGGACAAAUGCCAGUUUUUAAGCAAUUAUACGGUGAGUGCAUGAUUGCAAGUUCCCUAGCCAAAUCUGUAAAGCCUUCAUUUAAAGAGAAUUAGCUCCCUUCAGCAAUCAUAAAAGGACAUUUGGCCACCCAUAGGGACAACAGCAACUGAAAUUUCACAAGCAAAAACAUUACAGCAAUAGGGAAGGCAAACCCAAACAACCAGCUAGUAUACAGCAAAAGAAGAAUUGGUCAGAAUGAUAGUCAGCUCAAUAUAAAAUGCUUGAAACGUAAUUGCCUCAAGUAACAACCAGUCACCUCUGAAAAGGAGCAUGCCCGAACUAUGUGUUUGUGCUCAAAUGAAUGCAAUUCAUCCCCACUUAAUGCAUCCCAUAGUUUCCUGUAAAAAACAGUGAGCAUUUAUAAACAGAAAAUGUACGCUGCCAACCCUACAGCUCUCGACCACAAUUCUAGAAUAUAAGGCAUCACAUAAGCAUGUUGGAUGCUGAUGAUUUUGUUCUGCUGUCAAAAAGGCUUUCAUACAAAUAAUUAUUCAAUUGAAACUAUUUGAGUCAGGAAAACGAUUUAAUCUAAUUUCAGGAAAAAAAAAAAGCAAUCAUUACCUAAUGAGAACACAUUAGAUAAGAUACUUGCGUCCCGGAAAUCAAAGAGAAACAGAAACAUCUACUUACGCACUAAAAUCAGCAGAUGCAGAUGCAGCAUGUAGAGCAGGUUUAUCCAAACAACAACUCCAAACUGCACCUUUAUGCCCUUGAAAGGUUCCAAUCCAAUCACCAAUCUCUCCAUUUCUCAACAUUGGAUUGGAAUCUGACAUGAAAAUAAACUAGUAAUUAACCACAGUCUAUUCUCUUAUACCCAAUAACCUUUUAACUAAAUACAAUAACAACCAUCUCUUGACAAUAUUGCUUUAUACUUUCAGAUAACAGGUUUUAUAACAAAACCUCGCCAUCCCUACUUCUGCAUUAUUUUUUUAUUUUUUUUGAAAAGGAGUUCUAUACUGUACCAUCAAAAUCAAAAUCAACAUUCAUUUUCAUGGAAACCUAACAGUAGUUUUUGGUCAAGUGUCGAGUAUUCAAAUGUCAAAUGACCAGGAUAAAUGUUUCUUGGUAUACCACUAGGAACAUGAUAAAAAAGAUACAAAGAUAAAUGUUCAUAAGUAAAUCUUGGAAGCCCUUGGUAAGUGUCUUGGCAAGUCACUUAAUCAUACCUAACCUAAAAAAUAUCAUUUCAUUUUACUGGUCACAAACCCAUAGCAAGUUGAGAGGCCAAAAUGCCACACCUCAUUAUCGUAGCUCAGUGAAUCACACUUGCUUACGAUAUAUAUACUGCCCAAAAUGUAAUAGAAAGAGACCUCCCCAACAAGUGAAAAAAAGUAAUCAGACAUCAAGAAAAUUGAUUGCGAGUAAGUAUUUGGGGUCUGGAGAUUACAAAAAGGAGCUUACACAGUCAUUCAAACGUUACUUACACUCAUGAUAGCAACAGACUGGCUGUAUAUUUCAUGGCUAGAAACAGUAGCUAGUUUCAAGUACGAAUUGGUACAAAUGACCGUUAUAUCAUGGACCAAAAGGUUUAAAUUAAAAAAAUCUUAAAGGUAGUUAUGAGAAUUAGAACAAGUCGUGUAGGUGCAACGGAAGACAAAGGACUUCAUAAAAAGACAAAUAAAAAGAGAUGGCCAAAAAGGUUCUUUCUGGAAAGAUUACUGUAACUUUUUACAAUUAGCUGCAAUUUCAAAUUGGAAUGGUGAACUCCCUGCUACAUCUGCCUAUAAGCUGACUUUGACAUGAAUACUGAGCAAGUGAAAGACAAACUGAACCUGGUUAUGAAAAUAACAGGACCUAACGAUAAAGAGAUCAUAGCGAUGGCAAUUACUGCUAAAGCCCAACCUAAAUCCCAACUCUACAAAAUAAAGAAAACCAAAGAAUUCAAUUCGCCAAGGAUUCGAGCAAGGAUAUUGAGACUGAAGUACAUAUCCUUUCAGAAUGCCCAAAAGCCUAAUGGUCGGUCAAAUUUGUUAGCUCAGGAAGCUGCAAAUGAACAAGAUAUGCUCAAUUUACAAGAAUGGGUAAGUGUGAAUAUGAAGGAAAAGCAAGAGAUUAGGUC